CAGCAGCCACGGUAAUACGAAGGGUGCAAGCGUUACUCGGAAUUACUGGGCGUAAAGCGUGCGUAGGUGGUGGUUUAAGUCCGUUGUGAAAGCCCUGGGCUCAACCUGGGAAUUGCAGUGGAUACUGGGUCACUAGAGUGUGGUAGAGGAUAGUGGAAUUUCCGGUGUAGCAGUGAAAUGCGUAGAGAUCGGAAGGAACAUCUGUGGCGAAGGCGACUAUCUGGGCCAACACUGACACUGAGGCACGAAAGCGUGGGGAGCAAACAGGAUUAGAUACCCGCGUAGUCCCUGUCUCUAUACC
rnacentral:rRNA from 1 species